rnacentral:rRNA from 1 species
GACGAACGCUGGCGGCGUGCUUAACACAUGCAAGUCGAACGGAAAGGCCUCUUUCGGGGGGUACUCGAGUGGCGAACGGGUGAGUAACACGUGAGUAACCUGCCCUUGACUUUGGGAUAACUUCAGGAAACUGGGGCUAAUACCGGAUAGGAGCUCCUGCUGCAUGGUGGGGGUUGGAAAGUUUCGGCGGUUGGGGAUGGACUCGCGGCUUAUCAGCUUGUUGGUGGGGUAGUGGCUUACCAAGGCCUUGACGGGUAGCCGGCCUGAGAGGGUGACCGGCCACAUUGGGACUGAGAUACGGCCCAGACUCCUACGGGAGGCAGCAGUGGGGAAUAUUGCACAAUGGGUGGAAGCCUGAUGCAGCAACGCCGUGUACGGGGUGACGGCCUUCGGGUUGUAAACCGCUUUCGCUCAUGACGAAGCUUUGUGUGACGGUAGUGGGUAAAGAAGCACCGGCUAACUACGUG